GUACUAGAUUCAGAAGAGAUGUCAUCACUGGAUUUUCCUUGAUGAGGAAGAAUUGUACACCUAGAUAUUCCAAGACUGUAGCUCUCGAGUCUGGAUGUGGAUCAGCUUCAUGCUGGAACAAGACUGAAUCAUCUACAAUUGCUGCUCUCGUGCCUGGGUUUCCAUGAAGAAAAUUCAGACAUGAGCAAGAGACAUUUUUGUCAUGCUCCAGAGAUUCCCCUGCCCCAUCAUAUAAAAUCAGGCAAUAAGAACUGAAGGACAUGUGUUUGAGGACUAUGACAGCACUUUAUCCAUGUAAAAUAUGCAGAGUUCAUGCGUUACUGAGCAGAAACCAGUGAUCUUGUCUUGCCUCUACCUCUGCUUCUACUUUUGAUGUGUUUUUCCAUGCUGUGGAAACUCAUGCAGAGUUGUUAUGCCAGUUGGACAGAAUUUUAUAACCAAAAACUCUGGAUGCCUGGUUCACGGGAAGACAAAAUGCCACAAUUUUACCUGUAUGAUUUCUGAUGAGCAGUGUUGA